GUUUAUUUUGGAUUAAUUUUACGUAUUAGAGUAGUGAAACAGAAUGGAUUAAUUUGUUGUGUGAUUUGUAGUGUCUUACAGCUUGGCGUGUUUAAAGAUUAUUAAAAUGGUGCUAUUUGAAGAUCCUGACUUUCCCUUCCGUGACUCGGACGAUGACUUAUUUGAUGAAGUUGAUCAAAUAUUCAUGGAAAAUCCCCUGGUUCUGCCCUUGUAUUAUCAAGUGGGUUCCGGAUUCGAGACUUCUCUGUCAUCAGCUCAUGGCCGUAUGUAGUAAUACACUAAUGUUAAAUCUGUUUAUCAAUAAUAAGGUUGAAAAGAUAAACAACCAAAAGCGGUUGCUGGUGCAACAAUCAGGAUAUGACUGACCUGUAGUCCCCAUUGGGAGGAGA